rnacentral:tRNA from 1 species
AGAGCACUGGCCUCCGGAGCCAGUGGCGCAGGUUCGAUUCCUGCCGGGCGCGCCA